CUGGUGCCAGCAGCCGCGGUAAUUCCAGCUCCAAUAGCGUAUAUUAAAGUUGUUGCAGUUAAAAAGCUCGUAGUUGAAUUUCGGGAUCAUCAGGUUGGUCGUGCCUCCGGUAUGUACUUGCUUCGGUGGACCCUCCUUCUUGAAGAACCGUAAUGCCAUUAAUUUGGUGUUGCGGGGAAACAGGACUGUUACUUUGAAAAAAUUAGAGUGUUUAAAGCAGGCAAUCGCUUGAAUACAUUAGCAUGGAGUAAUGAAAUAGGACGUUCGAUCCUAUUUUGUUGGUUUCUAGGAUUGACGUAAUGAUUAAUAGGGAUAGUUGGGGGCAUUAGUAUUCAAUUGUCAGAGGUGAAAUUCUUGGAUUUAUUGAAGACUAACUACUGCGAAAGCAUUUGCCAAGGAUGUUUUCAUUAAUCAAGAACGAAAGUUAGGGGAUCGAAGACGAUCAGAUACCGUCGUAGUCUUAACCAUAAACUAUGCCGACUAGGGAUCGGAUGAUGUUAAUUUUUUAAUGACUCAUUCGGCG
rnacentral:rRNA from 1 species